rnacentral:rRNA from 1 species
UGUCUGGGAAACUGCCUGAUGGAGGGGGGUAACUACUGGAAACGGUAGCUAAUACCGCAUAAUGUCGCAAGACCAAAGUGGGGGACCUUCGGGCCUCAUGCCAUCAGAUGUGCCCAGAUGGGAUUAGCUAGUAGGUGGGGUAAUGGCUCACCUAGGCGACGAUCCCUAGCUGGUCUGAGAGGAUGACCAGCCACACUGGAACUGAGACACGGUCCAG